UACGGAGGGUGCAAGCGUUAUCCGGAUUCACUGGGUUUAAAGGGUGCGUAGGUGGGCAGGUAAGUCAGUGGUGAAAUCUCCGGGCUUAACUCGGAAACUGCCAUUGAUACUAUCUGUCUUGAAUGUAGUGGAGGUGAGCGGAAUAUGUCAUGUAGCGGUGAAAUGCUUAGAUAUGACAUAGAACAUCGAUUGCGAAGGCAGCUCGCUACACUAUGAUUGACACUGAGGCACGAAAGCGUGGGGAUCAAACAGG
rnacentral:rRNA from 1 species